UACGAACUGUGCGAACGUUAUUCGGAAUCACUGGGCUUACAGGGUGCGUAGGCGGGCCUUUAAGUCAGUGGUGAAAUCCCCCGGCUUAACCUGGGAACUGCGUCUGAUACUGGGAGGCUUGAGUAUGGGAGAGGGAUGUAGAAUUCCAGGUGUAGCGGUGAAAUGCGUAGAUAUCUGGAGGAACACCGGUGGCGAAGGCGGCAUCCUGGACCAUAACUGACGCUGAGGCGCGAAAGCUAGGGGAGCAAACGGG
rnacentral:rRNA from 1 species